AAACUUCAUAUUUUUCAUAUUGAUAUUCCUUAUGAACUUAGGUACUGCAAAAGGAACUAGCACAGAAUUAUAGUUGGAAAAACAAACAGUUAUAAGUACAUUUUGAUAACAUUUUAUGUUCCUUAUCUUAAUAACUUCACCUUAAUUAAGGAACCCAGGUGAGGUUAUUCCUUCAGAAAGCUAGCUUAAUUCUGCAUUCUUUGAAAAAUAAUACUUCUCAUAACCUCUUCAUUUGUCAAUCCUUCUGGAAUGCUGACCACAACAUCUUGAAGCACCAUCUCGUUGAUGCUUGACACACUUGCGUGAUGAACUUGAAACUCAAGUUCUCUAAGUGCAUCCAUCAAUCUUACAGCUGGAUAAUUAACAUCCGGGGAAUGAACACGGACCAUGGCUUCUGACCCUACAAUCUUUACAUCCACCUCCAUUGCCUUUGCUGCAUAACUUGAGGAAGGAAUCAAAUGAUCAACCAUGUAAUUGGUUGAUUGAUUGUCAUAGACGCUUGUAUUAAUAAUCCUGGAUUUCUUGGACACUGUUUGCAGUUUGCCCUCCAAUUCAUCAACUUUGGCCUUAAGCUCCUUGAUAUAAGUGACUGCGUCUGCAAGAAGAGAUGCUUUAUCCAUCUUGGACACAUUAGGAACCACUGAUCGGAGUGCAUAGAAUCGGUGAUUAAGUCUCUCUCUACGCUGCCUCUCCGCUUCGACAUGGUUUAGAGGCAAUUCUUUGCCAUUUGGUUUUCUUCCCCUUUUCUUGAACUGAUUAGUAAUUGCAGCAAAAUUGCCAUCAGAAUCAGAAGGUCCAGAGUCAGAAGACGAUCGGCCUUGACCAGAACCCGAAGCAUCUUUCUUUUUGUCUACUUCGUUUUGCUUCUCUGGAGAGGUCUCCUUUUGAGAACCUGAAAACAUUCCAAUAUCAAGGAAAGUAGCACCCCGAUCUGUAAUUUGAAGAUGAGAUUCAGGGCUGGGCUGCUUGGAGACCAGGCAGGCGACAUCUGCACCGAAAAGCGAUUUGCACAGUUGCACCAAGCUCCAAUCUUCAUUGACCAUAUGGGAGGAGCCCAAUUCAACAACUCCGCAAGAAGUUGAGAUACAGGCCAAAGUAUGUAUCCCGUGCAUACGAGCCUCUCUAACUCUUUCACACUCAUAUAACUGUAGCUCAUGAUCACCAGUCAACCAAGUGAAACCUCCGGAGGCAAAUGCCUGGCCAAGAACUCCUGCUCCAAUUGCGAAUGAUCGCGUUGCUGAUACGGUAUAGAACCACCCAUAGUCAGCAUCAUCAGCAUCUGCCAAUCUGUCCAUCUCCAUGUCAUCACUAAAAAGAGCUUGGAACUCUUUAGACACCUUCUUUCUUUCAAGAUUGAAACCGAAUUUGUGUUGCUGGUUCUGUUUGUUGCUUGGUUUGAUUGCAAAGUCUUUAGAGCCAUGGAAAUUCCCAUCACCCCAUGAUAAAACAAGGCGGCCACUGGCAUCCUUGGAGGCCUGNNGAGGCCUGCCAGAAGAUGGCGUAGAUCCACCAUCCAGGGCGGCUCUGGAGGAUGACUUGGAGGCGUUGUUGGAGAGGGGGCGAGGAUUCUUGACAAAAAGACAAAAGUGAAGAUGAAGAAGAGGGGGACAUAAUCUCUUCCAUGAAUAUCGUUUCUUGCAGUGUAGUUGUGUAGUUUUUCAACUUCUUGUUUCCUGUAUGUCCUUGGAUACAGAUUUUUCCCAGGGGUUAAAGGCAAAAAGUUUGAGAGAGAUAGAGAUAGAGGGAGAAGGCUGAUGUUAAAGUAGG
rnacentral:misc_RNA from 1 species